GAUGAACGCUGGCGGCGUGCCUAAUACAUGCAAGUCGAGCGAACGGACGAGAAGCUUGCUUUUCUGAUGUUAGCGGCGGACGGGUGAGUAACACGUGGAUAACCUACCUAUAAGACUGGGAUAACUUCGGGAAACCGGAGCUAAUACCGGAUAAUAUUUUGAACCGCAUGGUUCAAAAGUGAAAGACGGUCUUGCUGUCACUUAUAGAUGGAUCCGCGCUGCAUUAGCUAGUUGGUAAGGUAACGGCUUACCAAGGCAACGAUGCAUAGCCGACCUGAGAGCGUGAUCGGCCACACGGGAACUGAGACACGGUCCAGACUCCUACGGGAGGAAGCAGUAGGGAAUCUUCCGCGAUGGGCGAAAGCCUGACGGAGCAACGCCGCGUGAGUGAUGAAGGUCUUCGGAUCGUAAAACUCUGUUAGUCGGGAAGAACAUAUGUGUAAGUAACUGUGCACAUCUUGACGGUACCUAAUCAGAAAGCCACGGCUAACUACGUG
rnacentral:rRNA from 1 species